rnacentral:rRNA from 1 species
UUAUGAACUCCAAUCCGGCAAGAGUACCCGCUGAAUUUAAGCAUAUUAGUAAGCGGAGGAAAAGAAAAUAACAAUGAUUCCCCUAGUAACGGCGAGUGAAGCGGGAAAAGCUCAAGCUUAAAAUCUAUAGUUCUUUGAAGGGCUAUCGAGUUGUAGCUUUUGGAAGUAGUUUUAAUUUUUUUCUCUACUGGGUUUUUUAUAACCAAGCUGGGUAAAAGUUCCUUUGAAUAGGACAUCAAAGAGGGUGAAAAUCCCGUAUUUGGCCCCACCUAGUAGUUGUAAAACUUUAUAAGCUGUUUUCUAUGAGUCGGGUUGUUUGGGAAUGCAGCCCUAAUUGGGAGGUAAAUUUCUUCCAAAGCUAAAUAUCAGCAAGAGACCGAUAGCAUACAAGUACCGUGAGGGAAAGAUGAAAAGCACUUUGAAAAGAGAGUGAAAAGUACGUGAAAUUGUUAAAAGGGAACCAGUUAGUUCUGGCCAUUUUUUUCUUAUUAUUUCUCUCGGGAAAUAGUAGGAGGGUCAACAUCAGUUGCUUUUUUUUAGCUGCUAGAAAGGGAAUUUUCUGUAGACUAGUAAAGUCAGGUAGAAAUUAUCUUAAAGUUUCGGCUUUUUUAUAAUUUUGUUAUAGACUUUGUGGGUUUGCCUAUAUUUGCACCUAGUAGUGGCGGCGACUGAGGAAUUCAGUGUGUUUUUAACUUUUACGAGUUGAAUGGCUGGUUAUUGUUGCUAGUUUGUGGGCAAUUUUUAUCUUUUUAGACAACUUUUUGUUGACUAAGAGGAGUUGAUUGUUUUUCCUACUUUCUCGGUAAUAUAUCUUCAGACUAACAAACACUUUGGAUGUUGGCUAUAAUGGCACUAAUUGACCCGUCUUGAAACACGGACCAAGGAGUUCAACAUAUAUGCGAGUAGAUGGGGGUAUUUAAACCCAGAUGCGUAAUGAAAGUGAAACUAUAACAUUUAUGUUAUGGAUAUAGAAUGCUAACUUUUCUUCUCUCGGGGAGGAUUGUGCAGCAUCAACCGACCUUAGAUAGCGUUGCUUGAAGAGGUUGAGUAAGAGCAUAUAUGCUGAGACCCGAAAGAUGGUGAACUAUGCCUGAAUAGGGUGAAGUCAGAGGAAACUCUGAUGGAAGCUCGUAGCGAUUCUGACGUGCAAAUCGAUCGCGAAAUUUGGGUAUAGGGGC